UCUAAURUGGCAGAAUAGUGCAAUGAAUUUAAGCUUCAUUUAUAAAGAAAAAUCUUUUAUUAGAA
rnacentral:tRNA from 1 species